rnacentral:rRNA from 1 species
AGAGCGAACGCUGGCGGCAGGCCUAAUACAUGCAAGUCGAACGGAUCCUUCGGGAUUAGUGGCGGACGGGUGAGUAACACGUGGGAACGUGCCCUUUGGUUCGGAACAACUCAGGGAAACUUGAGCUAAUACCGAAUGAGCCCCCAUCCUUAAACAAGAUGGGUGGGAAAGAUUUAUCGCCAUUGGAGCGGCCCGCGUCUGAUUAGCUAGUUGGUGGGGUAAAGGCCCACCAAGGCGACGAUCAGUAGCUGGUCUGAGAGGAUGAUCAGCCACACUGGGACUGAGACACGGCCCAGACUCCUACGGGAGGCAGCAGUAGGGAAUCUUGCGCAAUGGGCGAAAGCCUGACGCAGCCAUGCCGCGUGAAUGAUGAAGGUCUUAGGAUUGUAAAAUUCUUUCAGCGGGGACGAUAAUGACGGUACCGCAGAAGAGCCCCGGCUAACUUCGUGCCAGCAGCCGC